rnacentral:rRNA from 1 species
UACGGGGGGAGCAAGCGUUGUUCGGAUUUACUGGGCGUAAAGGGCGCGUAGGCGGUCAGCACAAGUCAGUUGUGAAAUCUCCGGGCUUAACUCGGAAAGGUCAACUGAUACUGUGCGACUAGAGUGCAGAAGGGGCAACUGGAAUUCUCGGUGUAGCGGUGAAAUGCGCAGAGAUCGGGAGGAACACCCGUAGCGAAGGCGGCACUCUGGGCCGGUACUGACGCUGAGGUGCGAAAGCGUGGGGAGCAAACAGG